UGGGGAAUCUUGCGCAAUGGGCGAAAGCCUGACGCAGCGACGCCGCGUGCGGGAAGAAGGCCUUCGGGUUGUAAACCGCUUUCAGGAGGGACGAAGCCACUCGGGUUAAUAGCCUAGAGGGUGACGGUACCUCCAGAAGAAGCCCCGGCUAACUACGUGCCAGCAGCCGCGGUAAUACGUAGGGGGCUAGCGUUGUCCGGAUUUAUUGGGCGUAAAGAGCGUGUAGGCGGCCAGGUAGGUCCGGUGUGAAAACUCGAGGCUUAACCUCGAGAUGUCAUCGGAAACCAUCUGGCUAGAGUCCGGAAGAGGAAAGUGGAAUUCCUGGUGUAGCGGUGAAAUGCGCAGAUAUCAGGAAGAACACCAAUGGCGAAAGCAGCUUUCUGGGACGGUACUGACGCUGAGACGCGAAAGCGUGGGGAGCGAACAGGAUUAGAUACCCUGGUAGUCCACGCCGUAAACGAUGGGCGCUAGGUGUGGGCGGUGUCGACUCCGUCCGUGCCGAAGCUAACGC
rnacentral:rRNA from 1 species